rnacentral:rRNA from 1 species
ACAAGGAGCUUGCUCCUUUGACGUUAGCGGCGGACGGGUGAGUAACACGUGGGUAACCUACCUAUAAGACUGGGAUAACUUCGGGAAACCGGAGCUAAUACCGGAUAAUAUUUCGAACCGCAUGGUUCGAUAGUGAAAGAUGGUUUUGCUAUCACUUAUAGAUGGACCCGCGCCGUAUUAGCUAGUUGGUAAGGUAACGGCUUACCAAGGCGACGAUACGUAGCCGACCUGAGAGGGUGAUCGGCCACACUGGAACUGAGACACGGUCCAGACUCCUACGGGAGGCAGCAGUAGGGAAUCUUCCGCAAUGGGCGAAAGCCUGACGGAGCAACGCCGCGUGAGUGAUGAAGGUCUUCGGAUCGUAAAACUCUGUUAUUAGGGAAGAACAUACGUGUAAGUAACUGUGCACGUCUUGACGGUACCUAAUCAGAAAGCCACGGCUAACUACGUGCCAGCAGCCGCGGUAAUACGUAGGUGGCAAGCGUUAUCCGGAAUUAUUGGGCGUAAAGCGCGCGUAGGCGGUUUUUUAAGUCUGAUGUGAAAGCCCACGGCUCAACCGUGGAGGGUCAUUGGAAACUGGAAAACUUGAGUGCAGAAGAGGAAAGUGGAAUUCCAUGUGUAGCGGUGAAAUGCGCAGAGAUAUGGAGGAACACCAGUGGCGAAGGCGACUUUCUGGUCUGUAACUGACGCUGAUGUGCGAAAGCGUGGGGAUCAAACAGGAUUAGAUACCCUGGUAGUCCACGCCGUAAACGAUGAGUGCUAAGUGUUAGGGGGUUUCCGCCCCUUAGUGCUGCAGCUAACGCAUUAAGCACUCCGCCUGGGGAGUACGACCGCAAGGUUGAAACUCAAAGGAAUUGACGGGGACCCGCACAAGCGGUGGAGCAUGUGGUUUAAUUCGAAGCAACGCGAAGAACCUUACCAAAUCUUGACAUCCUUUGACAACUCUAGAGAUAGAGCUUUCCCCUUCGGGGGACAAAGUGACAGGUGGUGCAUGGUUGUCGUCAGCUCGUGUCGUGAGAUGUUGGGUUAAGUCCCGCAACGAGCGCAACCCUUAAGCUUAGUUGCCAUCAUUAAGUUGGGCACUCUAAGUUGACUGCCGGUGACAAACCGGAGGAAGGUGGGGAUGACGUCAAAUCAUCAUGCCCCUUAUGAUUUGGGCUACACACGUGCUACAAUGGACAAUACAAAGGGCAGCGAAACCGCGAGGUCAAGCAAAUCCCAUAAAGUUGUUCUCAGUUCGGAUUGUAGUCUGCAACUCGACUACAUGAAGCUGGAAUCGCUAGUAAUCGUAGAUCAGCAUGCUACGGUGAAUACGUUCCCGGGUCUUGUACACACCGCCCGUCACACCACGAGAGUUUGUAACACCCGAAGCCGGUGGAGUAACCAUUGGAGCUAG